ensembl:lncRNA
GUUCGAGCCUCCACCCUCAAGCUAUCCACCAUAACACCCCACCAGAGGAUUAUGGUUUCAGGGUAAUGGUGUACUCAUACCACUAGAUGGCGUCAUCAACACAGCGAGCUGACGAAGAUGAUUCUGUCUGAUGUCCAAGUGGAGAAAGGGGAUCCCUAUUUCAUUUUCUUCUGAAUGUAAUGACAUCCUAUCCAUCAGCUUCACCGUGGGCCAUGAGACUUACUUUGGUAAGUAGAACAGGAGCAGAUGCGUCAGAGCUGAAGAGUUAAGUGUGCUGGUGCGGUUGGCUCUGUCCCCUGGGGAGUCUGUUCUUCUCAGGGAGCGGCUACCACUUAAUCAAGGGUCAUUGAAUGAGAA